rnacentral:piRNA from 1 species
UGGUGAACAUGAUGUGCCACUAGG